rnacentral:pre_miRNA from 1 species
UAUAAGUGUAGCCAUGGUUUUCCGCGUCCAAUUUUGACCGUCCGUCUUAUUUGAAAAAUUUUAAAAAAAAUUUAAAAACAUAAGUCACGAGUAAAAUACUAUUCAUGUUUUAUCAUCUCAUAACAAUAAAAAUACUAAUUAUAAAAAAUUUAAAUAAGACGAACGAUUAAAGUUGGGCGCGGAAACUUAUAGUUGCACUUGUA